GAGAGAGAGGACGACUGGGAAGCAGGAGGCUGCAAUUUGCAAUAAAGGCCACAGAAAAUCAAUGAAUUGGAGAGAUAGCAGGGCAGAACGGCAAGAUGCUGCAAAGAAACACUCUGAACACAGAUGCUUUGAACACAACAAUAAAUAAAUGAACAAAUAAAAGGGUGCUUUCCUGAAGGACAGAAUGUUUCAUUCAUGAAGAAAACUGCUACACAAAAAUGUAAAAUUAAAGAGAGUUACAAAUCACUGCAGUUUCAAAUGCAUUGAUGGUUGCAAUAUGUAGGCAGUUGCAGCAAAGUGUGAAGGCUUUCCUAUGAGUUUCA